rnacentral:rRNA from 1 species
UACGUAGGGCGCAAGCGUUGUCCGGAAUUAUUGGGCGUAAAGAGCUCGUAGGCGGCUCGGUAAGUCAGGUGUGAAACCUCCAGGCUCAACCUGGAGACGCCACCUGAUACUGCCGUGGCUAGAGUCCGGUAGAGGAGCGUAGAAUUCCUGGUGUAGCGGUGAAAUGCGCAGAUAUCAGGAGGAAUACCAGCGGCGAAGGCGGCGCUCUGGGCCGGUACUGACGCUGAGGAGCGAAAGCGUGGGGAGCAAACAGG